rnacentral:rRNA from 1 species
AGUGAACGCUGGUGGUAGGCCUAACACAUGCAAGUCGAACGGCAGCACAGUAAGAGCUUGCUCUUACGGGUGGCGAGUGGCGGACGGGUGAGGAAUACAUCGGAAUCUACUUUUUCGUGGGGGAUAACGUAGGGAAACUUACGCUAAUACCGCAUACGACCUACGGGUGAAAGCAGGGGAUCUUCGGACCUUGCGCGAUUGAAUGAGUCGAUGUCGGAUUAGCUAGUUGGCGGGGUAAAGGCCCACCAAGGCGACGAUCCGUAGCUGGUCUGAGAGGAUGAUCAGCCACACUGGAACUGAGACACGGUCCAGACUCCUACGGGAGGCAGCAGUGGGGAAUAUUGGACAAUGGGCGCAAGCCUGAUCCAGCCAUACCGCGUGGGUGAAGAAGGCCUUCGGGUUGUAAAGCCCUUUUGUUGGGAAAGAAAAGCAGCAGGUUAAUACCCCGCUGUUCUGACGGUACCCAAAGAAUAAGCACCGGCUAACUUCGUG